rnacentral:misc_RNA from 1 species
GUAGGUGAACCUGCGGAAGGAUCAUUAAAAGUAAAUAUGUAUUCCAUGGAAUAUGCAUUUCAAACCCAUCUGUGUAUCUUACCUGUUGCUUCCGUGCUGCGUGGACUCUUGGGUCCCCUCUUGCUGUACACGUUACGGUUGUGAGUGUCGGCACGGGAGGUACACUUCAAACUCUUGCAUUUUAUGUCAUCGGUCUGAACCUGUUUAUUAAAUAAAACUUAAAACUUUCAACAACGGAUCUCUUGGUUCU